rnacentral:tRNA from 1 species
UCCCGGGGGGCUCAUACAGUAAAGCGUCUGCCUACAAUGCAGGAGACCCGGGUUCGAUCCCUGGGUUGGGAA